rnacentral:rRNA from 1 species
GACGAACGCUGGCGGCGUGCUUAACACAUGCAAGUCGAACGGAAAGGCCCUGCUUUUGUGGGGUGCCCGAGUGGCGAACGGGUGAGUAACACGUGAGUAACCUGCCCUUGACUUUGGGAUAACUUCAGGAAACUGGGGCUAAUACCGGAUAGGAGCUCCUGCUGCAUGGUGGGGGUUGGAAAGUUUCGGCGGUUGGGGAUGGACUCGCGGCUUAUCAGCUUGUUGGUGGGGUAGUGGCUUACCAAGGCUUUGACGGGUAGCCGGCCUGAGAGGGUGACCGGCCACAUUGGGACUGAGAUACGGCCCAGACUCCUACGGGAGGCAGCAGUGGGGAAUAUUGCACAAUGGGCGGAAGCCUGAUGCAGCAACGCCGCGUGCGGGAUGACGGCCUUCGGGUUGUAAACCGCUUUCGCCUGUGACGAAGCGUGAGUGACGGUAAUGGGUAAAGAAGCACCGGCUAACUACGUGCCAGCAGCCGCGGUGAUACGUAGGGUGCGAGCGUUGUCCGGAUUUAUUGGGCGUAAAGGGCUCGUAGGUGGUUGAUCGCGUCGGAAGUGUAAUCUUGGGGCUUAACCCUGAGCGUGCUUUCGAUACGGGUUGACUUGAGGAAGGUAGGGGAGAAUGGAAUUCCUGGUGGAGCGGUGGAAUGCGCAGAUAUCAGGAGGAACACCAGUGGCGAAGGCGGUUCUCUGGGCCUUUCCUGACGCUGAGGAGCGAAAGCGUGGGGAGCGAACAGGCUUAGAUACCCUGGUAGUCCACGCUGUAAACGGUGGGUACUAGGUGUGGGGUCCAUUCCACGGGUUCCGUGCCGUAGCUAACGCUUUAAGUACCCCGCCUGGGGAGUACGGCCGCAAGGCUAAAACUCAAAGGAAUUGACGGGGCCCCGCACAAGCGGCGGAGCAUGCGGAUUAAUUCGAUGCAACGCGUAGAACCUUACCUGGGUUUGACAUGGAUCGGGAGUGCUCAGAGAUGGGUGUGCCUCUUUUGGGGUCGGUUCACAGGUGGUGCAUGGCUGUCGUCAGCUCGUGUCGUGAGAUGUUGGGUUAAGUCCCGCAACGAGCGCAACCCUUGUUCACUGUUGCCAGCACGUUAUGGUGGGGACUCAGUGGAGACCGCCGGGGUCAACUCGGAGGAAGGUGGGGAUGACGUCAAGUCAUCAUGCCCCUUAUGUCCAGGGCUUCACGCAUGCUACAAUGGCUGGUACAGAGAGUGGCGAGCCUGUGAGGGUGAGCGAAUCUCGGAAAGUCGGUCUCAGUUCGGAUUGGGGUCUGCAACUCGACCUCAUGAAGUCGGAGUCGCUAGUAAUCGCAGAUCAGCAACGCUGCGGUGAAUACGUUCCCGGGGCU